CUUAGCUCAGGCGGUAGAGCACUUCAUUGGUAAUGAAGAGGUCCCCGGUUCAACUCCGGG
rnacentral:tRNA from 1 species